rnacentral:rRNA from 1 species
UACGAAGGGGGCUAGCGUUGUUCGGAAUCACUGGGCGUAAAGGGCGCAUAGGCGGCUUUAUAAGUCGGGGGUGAAAGCCUGUGGCUCAACCACAGAAUUGCCUUCGAUACUGUAUGGCUUGAGACCGGAAGAGGUAAGUGGAACUGCGAGUGUAGAGGUGAAAUUCGUAGAUAUUCGCAAGAACACCAGUGGCGAAGGCGGCUUACUGGUCCGGUUCUGACGCUGAGGCGCGAAAGCGUGGGGAGCAAACAGG